rnacentral:rRNA from 3 species
AGCUGGAGUUGCUAGUAAUCGCGAAUCAGCAUGUCGCGGUGAAUACGUUCCCGGGCCUUGUACACACCGCCCGUCACACCAUGAGAGUUGGCAAUACCCAAAGUACGUGAUCUAACCCGUAAGGGAGGAAGCGUCCUAAGGUAGGGUCAGCGAUUGGGGUGAAGUCGUAACAAGGUAGCCGUAGGAGAACCUGCGGCUGGAUCACCUCCUUUCUAUGGAGA